rnacentral:lncRNA from 1 species
CCAGACUCCCGAGCCGGGCUCCAUUGUUGUUGGAGCCGAGGGAAGGGGGAGCAAAACAGCUUUAGAAACCCGUGAAGCCGCGCCUUGGAGCCUUUCCAGGCGGGUCCCCGGAGAAGCGGUAAUGGCCGCGCCGUGGGAUCAAGGGAGCCGGGCUGUGCCGCGGAGAAGCCUGGCUGCAUGGUGUGAUGUUGUGUGUGUUUUUUUUUUUUUUUUUUUUUAAGAGCGCCUCGCGUCCCAGCAGAGCCAGCGGAGCAUCCUACUCAGGUGAUGAGGAACCCUCCGGGCACCCAGCGCAGAUCGCUGCUGCCGCUGGACGCCUCCAUUGUUUGACCAUAACAAGGGCCGGAUUCUCACCCAGCAGCAACAGAUUCAGGUUUUUAUGUCCUUUGAGUAGAAUGGAUUCUUACUGAAUUUGCCAGCAGUACCAGAGUUUUAACAGUUUACAUACAUAUUCAGUAAUGUGAUGGCUAUCAUAUUAAGAUGUAAAAGGCACAAUUAAGAGGUAUGUAGGUAUUUUUUUUCUUUUAUUCAAAUGUAUACGAAUGUUUCUAGCAUGGCCACCAAAAUCAGCUUGCCUCUGUUCUGUUCUAGUUUACGUUAUGUGGGCAGAAGGGAUCAGAAAUUAAACAAUCACGCAGCUGCUCAUAUAAUCACAAACCGGUGUCUGCUAUGAAAGUGAGUUAGCACUCUCGAUGAGAAAGUAUUAAAAAGGGGACCAAAUUUUAGAUUUCAGAGAGAGGACUCAGGAAAGACUUUUUUGCAAAAAUAAGCUUUGAGCUGAGAUCUGAAGGGUGAGUAGGCGUCAGUGUAGAAUGAGAUGGGGGAUAAUUUUCCAGGCAGGGGAACGGCAUGUGGGAAGGCCCAGAAUGGGGAAAGCUUUGCCCUUUCCGGGAACUGAAAGAAUGACUUGUGGAUACAUUAUGGUGGGUGAGGGGCAAGUGUGGCUAGGCAGGGGACCAAAUCAUGUCGGGUCUUGUAGGGCAGGUUAAGGAUGUUUUAUUUUAUCCCGAGUGAAAUGGGAAACCAUUACAAGGGUUGGGUUUUAAACAGGGGAAUGACUUAAUCAGAUUUGCAUUUUUAAACAGCCACUCCAGCUGCUGCUACCUGCAGAAUGUGGGAGUGGGGAGUGAAAGUGGGGAAGACCAGGUAGGUGAUUGUCAGAGGUCUGUCAAGAGAGAUGGUCUUUCCCUUCUAGUUCACAUUGACUUCAAACUACCAGCUAUACUAAGGUCAAAAUAGGUAUUUGUCUGUAAAAAUAAAUAAUUUUUUAUUUUCA